rnacentral:tRNA from 1 species
GGCCUUGUAGUGAAUCACAUUAGAUUGCAAAUCUAAAGAUGCAGGCUAAUUCCCUGCCGGGGCUU